UACGAAGGGGGCGAGCGUUGUUCGGAGUUACUGGGCGUAAAGGGCGCGUAGGCGGUCGUGACAAGUCACUUGUGAAAUCUCCGGGCUUAACUCGGAACGGUCAAGUGAUACUGUCGGACUAGAGUACAGAAGGGGCAACUGGAAUUCUCGGUGUAGCGGUGAAAUGCGUAGAUAUCGAGAGGAACACCGGUGGCGAAGGCGGGUCUCUGGGACGUGACUGACGCUGAGGAGCGAAAGCAUGGGGAGCGAACAGG
rnacentral:rRNA from 1 species